ensembl:lncRNA
CUUCACAUAACUUGUUUAUUUAUUACACAGUAUAAUACAGUACUGAUCAAAGACAACAGAUUUUUAAAAACAGUUUAAAUGAGCAAAUAACUAGUAGUAUGGAUUAAAUACUGUAGGUAUCACUGUGACAGCAAUAUAUUUUAUAUACUAUAUUGAAGCAAAUUAAAAUUAUCUGUGAAAUCCAGGACGAGGAAGUAAUCAAAUCAUAUGAAUGUGCAUGAAUAAGCUUUUUUUUUUUUUUUAAGCUAAUGAUACGGGUUACUUUCACAGUGAAGCAUGAAAAUUAUGAUGAAGCAUCCGUUCAAUGUGUUGAAAGCCAUUUACAGUAUAGUUCACACACACAGCAACGGAACAGACACGUUUCAUAGUAGGGAUGAUGACUGGACUGAACAUUUACACAUGCUUAGUAGAAUUACAGGAUUUUAGAAGACUGAUUAAAUGCAGUAUAUUGGCUGCAAAUUAUAGCAGGUGCUUUUUUCAUUCUUGGCUCCUAUUUGCCCAGAUCCAGAAUAACGAAACGACAUCUGACCUCCCACUACCUUCUGAAUCUUUUUACCAUCUUAUUUUGACAGAAUACGACCAGUAUCGUUUGCUCUGGUGAAACGUGAGUAUUCCUGUCAUUUCUUCUCAGCAACCUACCGGUUAAAGCUCAAACAGUACCUGAGGAAUGGAAAUGCAGCAGGACUAAAUAACUAAACAAGCGGCUAGAUCAAACUGAAGCAGGCCCAGACGUCUGGCAAAACACAAAAAAGUUUGGAAAUGAGACAUGUUUUUGCACUUGACAUGAAGAGUCAGGAAUUUAAACUAGGAGAAGUUGGAAUUUGUAGGAAUGAGUGUUUCGAUAUUGACAUACACUGAAAACAUUUCUGCUUAAUGCUGGAAACAAAACGGAUGUAGGCACUGCUGUUUGUAAGCUGCAAUGUACAUCAGGAAUGCCUAUUUGAUGGCCUCCAUUAUACGAGGUUUUGGGGGUUUAAACACUAGCAUAAAGUAUAGCUUCCUAGAACUGAACUAAUAAUUGCUACAGUUAAUCAGGCCUACCUUUUGGCAUAUAAAACACAGGUAAAUUGCAGUGAGGUCUAUUUAAAGCUAUUUAUUUUGUACAAAGGUAACAAUUAAAAUGAUAUAGGGCAAGCUAUGGGUUUGGGGUAGAGUAGAGUAGCGUGACAGUAAAAACAUUAUUCCAUUUAGAUUUAGCAAUAAAAUAUUUUAUACAAGAAAAUAUGCGGCUAUUAAACAACGAAACAAAUAUUAGCCAGUGCUUAACAGAAAUGCUGCAUAUCUGGAAAGCAAAUGUCUUCUCUACUAACUUAUGCUAGUCAAGGAUCGGAGAACAAGGGGCUGAAAGUUGAUAACAGAUUACUUUAGCCUGACUGAAAGGCAGAUACUAUAACAACAUUUAGCCAUUUUUGAUUGUACUUGCGUGAGUGUUUUAAGAACAUCAAAACUACAGUGAUUCAGUCAUUCCUAGCUGAAAUAAAAGCUGGGAAAUGGAUCCUAAUGUAAAAGUUCUUGCAAUGUCUAAAAGAAGUCUGUUCAUGUAAUGAUAAUAAGUCGUCUCUGACUGCUGAACCACUAACAAACGAUUUCAAUCAGCGCGACAGAACGACCGAGGGUUUUACACAGGGCAGAGAAGCCAAACAUUUUGUUGUCCCUCAUUCCUUAGCCCCAAUUCAGUAAAGCAGUGCAAUACUUUGAAUAAGAAAGCAGGGAAAUAAACACACAAAUACUGUACAGCAAAAUGUGUAGCAUAACAGAACUCUUCACGCUUCCCCCCAA